AUAUAAGUCCGAAUGAACGAAAGAUAUGAAGUAAAGUUGUUCGUAUGUGUUCUGGGUCUAUGACUCAAUAUAUAUUGAAUGUCCACGUUUUGGGAAAGCCAUAUAACCAAAGAGAAUCCGUGGGACAUGAAAAAGGACCUGCAAGUAAAGUUUUAUUGCAGAUUAUAAAGUCCAUCCGAGCACCGUUUGAAGCACCAUCAGUUCAACCAAGACAUGGAGUGAUCAGCAGCAAAGAUGUACAUCCUGACCACAUCUUAAUGGAGUUCCAAAAGACAUACCAACGUCCAAGACUUACAAGUUCAUUCAAGGAGAAUCCAGCUGAUCAUCUUCACCAAGUCAUAGGCAACUUCAACGUUCAAGAAGACUCGGAUACCAGAUGGGAAUGCGUCUACUACAGUGAUGCAUUCAUCUGGGGGAGUUCAUGUGUUGUACUCUUUUUCCUGUCCUUGGUUUCCCAUUUUGCCACAUUGGUUUUGGGGUUUUUCAGGAGAGGUUUUAAUGAGGCAACAUUAAGCAUGCAACGAACCUGUACCGGAUGUGUCGAUCAAGGGGGAGUGUUAUAAACCAAAUGAUGAUCGACCAUGGACCAGCCCGUACUGCAGGCCCAAUCCGGAACAUAAUAAAGACAACCAGAGACUAUGUGUUUAUCUAGUAUAUAUUCCAUGUAUAUCUGUAACAUAGUGUUUAUCCUUAUCCUUAUCUUGUUAGGAUAAACAUGACCUUAUGACGGUCUAAUACCUUGUAUAUAUAUGGACCUUCUGGUCGACAGUAAUGAUAACAGAAAUAUUUCUCCAACACUUCAUUUACAACAGCCGAAAGGUUUUACACUGUUUUUUUUCUCAAAAAAUAUUUUACACUAUGAAACGAACUUAAAAUUUAAGUUAACUAAAUGUAAAUCCAAAUCAUUAACCAUAAACUAUAAAUAAUAUAUAAUAACUUGUAACCCCCAAAAUAUAACAAAGCUGCAGCCCAUAAAACUAUAACCCCUAAAUUAUAACCAUAAGUUUAAAUUUAGGGUUUAGGGUUAGGGUUUAUGUUUAGGGUUUAGGUCAGAUUUAUAUUUUAAAACUUAAAACACUAAAUCUUAAAUAUAAAGUACAAUCUAAUUUUUCAAAUUUUAUUUUAAAUUUUACUUUUGAUCCAUAAUCCAAACUUUAAGCUCUACAUUUUUAAUUCUUAAAUUCGAAACUUCACCCUAAAUAUUAUACCAUAGCCCCCAAGCUUAAACCCUACAUACCAAGUCAUAAAUCUUAUCUUUUAAAACUAUAACAUAAAUCUAAUAAUCUUUCAAUUCUAGUUUUAUAAUUUUAAUGUCAAACCCUUAACCCUAAUCACAAAUGAUUUUAUUUUUCUUGAUUCAUUUCACAAAGGUGUGGAUCACCUUUCAUUAUAUAUAUAAUAGUUUAUAUAUUUGGUGUACUUCAAACUCUAAAUCCCAAAACUUAACCCCAUACCUUAUACCAUACUUCAAAUUCUAGACCUCAAAAUUUAACUCCAAACCCUUCAAACCCUAAACCCCAAAACUCUAAUAUAUACCUAAUCAUAUAUAACAUUUUAAACUUAAACUAUAUCAAAUCUAUUUUCAAAACUUAAUCUCAAAUUCUAUACCGUAAAAUUAUAAUAAAAUAUAAUUACUCUUAUUUGGAUUGUUUUUUUCCAUAAAAUUAUUGAAAGUUUAGACAAUUUUUAUAAUAACAAUAAAUUAAUAAGAAGACAAUUUAUAUUGUUUUUUGAGAGCCAUUAAUUUAUUUGGAUCAAAAGCCCAAAACCACUCUUCUAUCUAUCCUGGUACUUUUUUCCUAUUGGUUGAAAAAAUAAAGGUGAGGAUCGUAGACCAUUGAUCACAAUUUAAUCAAUGGCCCAGAUUAUUUUGGAAUUGUUUCUGAUUGGACACACAAAUCAACUCCUCUCCACGUUUCUUUCUCUCUCUGCAGAUCUAAGAGCAUGAUUAAUGGAAGUUCUUAGGAUGGAGUUCUUAGCGGAAUAUAAGAAACCGUUUCUUAAAUUUUAACUAAAAAAGCUAAGAACCGGAUCUUAAAUAAUUAAGAGCCGGUUCUUAGCUUUUUUAGUUAAAAGUUAAGAGACGGUUUCUUAUGUUCCGCUAUUUAAGAUCCGGUUCUUAGCUUUUCUAGUUAAAAGUUAAGAGACGGUUUCUUAUAUUCCGCUAAAAAUCUCACCAUACGAACCCUAGUUAAUCAUGGUCUAAGUCUCACCGAUCUUCUUCUCUUUCUUUCCCUCUCCACGUUUCUUUGAUUUUAAUCUUAUCAUUGUUUUUCAAUCUUAUUUGUUUCGAUUCGCUUCCUCACAUUCUCAGAUUUGAUCUCUAACCACCGUUGAUUGAAGCUUCACCACCACACUCCUUUUGACACCGUGUCACCAGCACCACCACCACCAUCGCUUCUUAGAUCCGUCUUCACCAGAGUCGCCACCACCACACGCUCAUCAUAAUCACCAUUCAGCUCUCUGUCUCUCACUUCUGUUUCUUGUUCUCUCUACAUCGAGAAAGAAGCACGAGGCGCUCACCAGUGGCAGUUCUUUUACCACAUCUAAAAGCAUUGCUUCAGGUCUGGUGUUUUGGCUGGUAAAUCUGCUAGAGCUUAAGUGAUUGAUGUUCUUUCUCUGCCUAAACAAACGCAUCUAUUUCUUCUCCGUGAAAAGACUUUGCGUUGCGCGUUUCCCGGGAUAGAGAACAGUUUAUCAAAGGAUUUGGCCGUGGCUCUAAAUGACUCGGAAUUCCUACAGUGGUGGGUUUUUUAAGCGAGAAGGGAUCACUUUCGGGCACUAAGGCAAAGAAUGGAGAGCGGUAAAAAGACAGUUCGCACAUCAUAACGGGGGAACUGCUUUUGUAUUCUCCAUUCAUCAUGCAAUCACAAUCAUAAAGUGGUUCAGGUUUAAAAUUAAUAAAUUAUUUAUGAACCACUAGUGGUUCAAAUCUGUGAACAAAAAAUAUGGUUCGCAAUGUACAGUAACAAUUCAGCAUAUUUGGAGUGUAUCGAGUGUUUCUUCUG